rnacentral:rRNA from 1 species
GACGAACGCUGGCGGCGUGCUUAACACAUGCAAGUCGAACGCAAAGGCCCUGCUUUUGUGGGGUGCUCGAGUGGCGAACGGGUGAGUAACACGUGAGUAACCUGCCCUUGACUUUGGGAUAACUUCAGGAAACUGGGGCUAAUACCGGAUAGGAGCUCCUGCUGCAUGGUGGGGGUUGGAAAGUUUCGGCGGUUGGGGAUGGACUCGCGGCUUAUCAGCUUGUUGGUGGGGUAGUGGCUUACCAAGGCUUUGACGGGUAGCCGGCCUGAGAGGGUGACCGGCCACAUUGGGACUGAGAUACGGCCCAGACUCCUAAGGGAGGCAGCAGUGGGGAAUAUUGCACAAUGGGCGGAAGCCUGAUGCAGCAACGCCGCGUGCGGGAUGACGGCCUUCGGGUUGUAAACCGCUUUCGCCUGUGACGAAGCGUGAGUGACGGUAAUGGGUAAAGAAGCACCGGCUAACUACGUG